rnacentral:lncRNA from 1 species
ACUCGUUAAACCUAAAAGACUUGGCCCCCUUCGCCAUGUAGAAUGACACUUAUCUAUGGCCCAUAUGGGUUAAUCAAUUAAUUUGCGAUUCAGAUAAGACUUAGACAUUGGGUUCUCGACAUCCCUAAAAACAUUGGGUUCUCGACACCCCACCCUUUUCUGUUCCCUAAACGCAGCACUUGGUCCAUAGAUAUUUUGCCUCUAGCCUGAUAAAUAUGUUGUCGCGACUGGGCCCGGGUAGAGUCUCACUUCUGGGUUUUUUUGGUCGCUUGUACUUGGAUACUUGUUGUCAUUGGCUGCUCGUAAUCAGCAGAAAGGUUCCACAAAAUCAGCCCUCGAACGAUAUUCAAGAAUUGCGCAUCAACAAAAAGAAACAAGCACAACAACAACAACAACCAGCUGCAAAGUAUGGAUAGCGGUCUAAGACCAAAGAAUAUGAGGAUGAAGAGCUGGGUACUUUAUUAGGCCCUAGGACCAAAAAUAAUAGCUGGAUUACUGCUUAUAGAUUGCUGGCAAAUAUAAUGGCAUGGUUUGUUUUCAAGUUCAUAAUGUCUCGUUCAUAAAAAUGUUUGGUUGUGCUG